rnacentral:rRNA from 1 species
UACGUAGGGCGCAAGCGUUAUCCGGAAUUAUUGGGCGUAAAGAGCUCGUAGGCGGUUUGUCGCGUCUGCCGUGAAAACCUGCAGCUUAACUGUGGGCGUGCGGUCGAUACGGGCAUCACUGGAGUUCGGCAGGGGAGACUGGAGUUCCUGGUGUAGCGGUGAAAUGCGCAGAUAUCAGGAGGAACACCGGUGGCGAAGGCGGGGUCUCUGGGCCGAUACUGACGCUGAGGAGCGAAAGCGUGGGGAGCAAACAGG